AUUGAACGCUGGCGGCAUGCUUUACACAUGCAAGUCGAACGGUAACAGGCCUUCGGGUGCUGACGAGUGGCGAACGGGUGAGUAAUGCAUCGGAACGUACCCAGAGGUGGGGGAUAACGCAGCGAAAGCUGUGCUAAUACCGCAUGUGAUCUGAGGAUGAAAGCGGGGGACCGAGCAGCAAUGUUUGGCCUCGCGCCUUUGGAGCGGCCGAUGUCGGAUUAGCUAGUUGGUGGGGUAAAGGCCUACCAAGGCGACGAUCCGUAGCUGGUCUGAGAGGACGACCAGCCACACUGGGAAUGAGACACGGCCCAGACUCCUACGGGAGGCAGCAGUGGGGAAUUUUGGACAAUGGGCGCAAGCCUGAUCCAGCAAUGCCGCGUGCGGGAAGAAGGCCUUCGGGUUGUAAACCGCUUUUGGCAGGAACGAAACGGUGUCCGCUAAUACCGGGCGCUAAUGACGGUACCUGCAGAAUAAGCACCGGCUAACUACGUG
rnacentral:rRNA from 1 species